CUUCCCCUUCACAGUCAUCCUCCACAACCUGGUCAACAACCAGUACGACCAGUACUGUAGACCUGGACAUCUGGCCAGAGAACUUCACUGUCCCUUGGGGCAAAAUGGCCAUGAACCUGAGAUCAGCCAUCGCCAGAGGCACACGGCCAACCCCGGGAGAAUGAAGAGAGAUGGUGUCAGCCACAGCCACAGAUGUGGAGUGAUCAAUUCCCCUGCCGGACUCACCAAGACUGAUUGUUCAAGGCAGAGUAUCCAAUAAGACUGUGUGACAAUGACUGCUGCCAAAUAGAUAAGCGUCGAGAAGGAGGUCGUGAUGUCGGUCCACUCCAACUUUGUGGCAGCGCUGGCAGCUUUUUUUGCCUCAUUCUACACCUUCAAUUUGCAAUUUGCCAAGAGGAGGCUUCACGCACCCUAGAGUUCAUCCAAAGAUCUUUUGCUGGAAUCAAUCCAUCCACUGACUCGAAGACCGCCACAGCAGAGGUCGUCAGCAAGAAAAGUGGAAA